AAGUGUUAUAGCUCUUUUACAAUUUGUCUAGUAGGUUUUCCAGUUUUCACCAGAAAAUCCCC
ensembl:snRNA U7 U7 small nuclear RNA